GGACCUGACUGCUAUCGGAUUGAUACUAAGCCAUGCGAGUCAUGNUAGCAAUACAAGGCAUACGGCUCAGUAACGCGUAGUCAACCUAACCUAUGGACGGGAAUAACCUCGGGAAACUGAGAAUAAUGCCCGAUAGAACAUUAUGCCUGGAAUGGUUUAUGUUCCAAAUGAUUUAUCGCCGUAGGAUGGGACUGCGGCCUAUCAGUUUGUUGGUGAGGUAAUGGCCCACCAAGACUAUUACAGGUACGGGCUCUGAGAGGAGUAGCCCGGAGAUGGGUACUGAGACACGGACCCAGGCCCUAUGGGGCGCAGCAGGCGAGAAAACUUUGCAAUGUGCGAAAGCACGACAAGGUUAAUCCGAGUGGUUUCUGCUAAAGAAACCUUUUGUCAGUCCUAGAAACACUGAUGAAUAAGGGGUGGGCAAGUUCUGGUGUCAGCU
rnacentral:rRNA from 1 species